rfam:Gossypium raimondii Chr02_contig_819, whole genome shotgun sequence.
AUUCCAUGAUGAGGGCAUUUUCAUAGUAACUCUUUGAAUCUCUCCCACGCCUCAUACAAGGAUUCAUCAUCCAUUUGUUGGAAGGUAGUGAUCUCAUUUCGUAACU